GACGAACGCUGGCGGCGUGCCUAAUACAUGCAAGUCGAACGCUGAAGGAGGAGCUUGCUCUUCUGGAUGAGUUGCGAACGGGUGAGUAACGCGUAGGUAACCUGCCUGGUAGCGGGGGAUAACUAUUGGAAACGAUAGCUAAUACCGCAUAAGAGUAGAUGUUGCAUGACAUUUGCUUAAAAGGUGCAAUUGCAUCACUACCAGAUGGACCUGCGUUGUAUUAGCUAGUUGGUGGGGUAACGGCUCACCAAGGCGACGAUACAUAGCCGACCUGAGAGGGUGAUCGGCCACACUGGGACUGAGACACGGCCCAGACUCCUACGGGAGGCAGCAGUAGGGAAUCUUCGGCAAUGGACGGAAGUCUGACCGAGCAACGCCGCGGGAGUGAAGAAGGUUGUCGGAUCGUAAAGCUCUGUUGUAAGAGAAGAACGAGUGUGAGAGUGGAAAGUUCACACUGUGACGGUAGCUUACCAGAAAGGGACGGCUAACUACGUG
rnacentral:rRNA from 1 species